rnacentral:rRNA from 1 species
GACGAACGCUGGCGGCGUGCUUAACACAUGCAAGUCGAACGGGCCCGCCCCUGUUUUUGGGGGUGGGUUGAGUGGCGAACGGGUGAGUAUCACGUGAGUAACCUGCCCCCUGCUCCUGGAUAACUGCUUGAAAGGGCGGCUAAUACGGGGUGUGCCGGCUGGUCCGCAUGGGCCUGGUCGGGAUAGUUUCAUCUUCGGGUGUUUCGGUGGGGGAUGGGCUCGCGGCCUAUCAGCUUGUUGGUGGGGUGAUGGCCCACCAAGGCGGUGACGGGUAGCCGGCCUGAGAGGGUGGGCGGCCACACUGGGACUGAGACACGGCCCAGACUCCUGCGGGAGGCAGCAGUGGGGGGUAUUGCACAAGGGGCGGAAGCCUGAUGCAGCGACGUCGCGUGAGGGAUGGAGGCCUUCGGGUUGUGAACCUCUUUCUCCGGUGGUGAAGGCCCUGUCCGUUGCGGCGGGGUUGACGGUAGCCGGGUAUGAAGCGCCGGCUAACUACGUG